UGACGUCACUAGGCAGAGUGGCAGCUGACACAGGGAGAAAGAAACAGAUUGAGAACGGGUUAGAGGAAUGAAAAUACAUCAAACAUAAAUAAAGCGAAAUCAAAGCAAUAGGAUAGAUUGAGAGAAAGGAGAAAGAAGAAGAGAGAAACUGUGUAAAAAGGGAGAGGGACAGGGAGAGAGAAAGAAGAUACAAAUAAAGUAGGGGGAGUUUGCAGUUGACUUGAGAGAGAGGGAAAGGGAGAAAGGGAGAGAGAGAGAGCGAGAGAGAGACCAGCCGCCGGCCCAUUUAGGAAAGAUGGCUACAGUCACUGCAAACGGAGUGCAGCAAGAGAAUGGAUUCAGCACCACGAACAGCGCCGGCAGGAUGAACGGACUCAUGAUCGGUCAGAACACCAUUCCAAUGAAGGACCACGACGCCAUCAAGCUGUUUAUCGGACAGAUUCCCAGAAACCUGGAGGAGAAAGAUCUGAAGCCCCUUUUUGAGGAAUUCGGAAAGAUAUACGAACUCACUGUGCUGAAAGACAGGUUUACUGGAAUGCAUAAAGGAUGUGCCUUUUUAACAUACUGCGCCAGAGAGUCAGCACUGAAGGCCCAGAGCGCCCUCCAUGAACAGAAGACUCUGCCAGGGAUGAACCGGCCCAUCCAGGUGAAGCCAGCCGACAGCGAAGGACGAGGAGAAGACAGGAAGCUGUUUGUGGGGAUGCUUGGGAAGCAGCAGAGCGAGGAGGACGUCCGGCGGCUCUUUGAGACCUUCGGCCAGAUCGAGGAGUGCACCGUCCUGAGAGGGCCUGAUGGGGCCAGUAAGGGCUGUGCCUUUGUCAAGUUCUCCAGCCACACAGAAGCACAGUCGGCCAUCAACAGCCUGCACGGCGGACAGACCAUGCCAUGUGGGUAUCCCCAGGGGGCGUCCUCCAGCCUGGUGGUGAAGUUUGCCGACACGGACAAGGAGCGGACCCUGCGUAGGAUGCAUCAGAUGGCGGGCCAGCUCGGCAUCUUCAGCCCCAUGACCAUCCAGUUUGGGGCCUAUGGCGCCUACUCUCACGCUGUAAGUCUCGGCUCCACGGGGGAGGAGACGCAGAUGAUGCAACAGCAAGCAGCGCUAAUGGCGGCGACCCAGAACUCGUAUCUGAACCCCAUGGCAGCCAUCGCUGCGGCACAAAUGCAGCAAAUGGCAGCUUUCAACGUCAACGGUCUGGUGGCUGCCCCAAUGACACCCUCCUCAGGCACAAGCACGCCGCCGGGUAUCAAUGCCACGGCCUUGCCCAGCCUAGCAGCGCCCAUGGGGGUCAACGGGUUCGCAUCCCUCCCGCCCCAGACCAACGGUCAGCCUAACAACGAGCCAAUCUACACCAAUGGGAUCCACCCCUACCCAGGUGAGACAGCCAAUGGGAUUCACCUCUACUCAGCACAGAGCCCUACAGUGACUGACCCUCUCCAGCAGGCUUACGCCGGUGUGCAGCACUACGCAGCAGCCUACCCUGCCGCAUACGCACCAAUCAGUCAAGCGUUCCCCCAGCAACCCACCAUCAUCCCCCAGCAACAGAGAGAAGUUUGUUGUUGUUAUUUCCCACCAGGGCCGGAAGGCUGCAACCUGUUUAUUUACCAUCUGCCCCAGGAGUUUGGAGAUGCAGAAUUAAUGCAAAUGUUCCUGCCUUUCGGCAACGUCAUCUCCGCCAAAGUCUUCGUGGACCGGGCGACCAAUCAAAGCAAGUGUUUUGGCUUUGUGAGCUUCGAUAACCCGUCCAGUGCCCAGGCGGCUAUCCAGGCCAUGAAUGGUUUUCAGAUAGGCAUGAAGCGGCUGAAGGUGCAGCUGAAGCGGCCAAAGGAUGCCAACCGACCUUACUGACCCCUCUGCCGUCCACAUCCAGAUGGCCUCUCCGUGGUCGUUGUGUAGCCAACCAGUAGCCACCAGUCACAGGGACACGUUCCCAGUUCCCACACCUGAUGAAGGGCCACAACACCUUAUUUCCACAAGUGCAGUAUAAAGUACAAAGACUUCUUGCUCUGCUACAUAUCAUGAAAGAAGGGUGGUCCCUUGAUUCUGCUGGAAGAAUAGCUGGAGAAGAUUGGGUGACUGAGGAGGAGAAAGAACCCGGAGAUUCUUGUUUGUUUUUUUAGCAAAUGCCUCUUUUUUUCCCUGUUUUGCUUUGGCGUCUGUGGAAGAGGAUUUUUUGCAGAGACCAACUUUUUGCUGCUGUUUUUUAGAGAAGAUGGAAAACCUUUAUAGACACAUUAUGCUCAAAGCAUGCAAACUGACACCGGUACACACACACACACACACACACACACACACACACACACACACACACACACACACACACACACACACACACACACACACACACACACACACACACACACACACACACACACACACACACCAGCCUGCUGCCAUUUUGGUUUUCGUGCCUACACAGGUGAUGUGCUCUGUGACAGGGCGAGCUCUGAGGAAAGAAGAAGAGAAAUGGAGAAUCCAGGAGAAUUUACAUGCAUCAUUCCUUAGGAAAUAGGGACCAAAGGACUUAACGCUUUUUAAAAUAAUAUAAAUAUAUACAUAUAUAUAUACAUAUAUAUAUAUAUUUAAAAAAAACUCUUACCUUGUAGCUGCAAGUAUUACAAUUUAAUAGUAGUCAAAAUAAAUAAUUAAAUCAAUAUCCAGUGGCCUAAGUAAGAAUAAAAAGAUAAAGGAAAUAAUGUAUACAUUGAAAAAAAGACAAGGAAACGUAGUACAGGGGCUGAUUAUUAUGUUCUGGUUGCUGUUUUGCUCCCAGUUAGUAGAUUAGAAAAUGUAGAAUACUAGAAAAGUAGAUUUGCUCUUUUUUGCUGUUGUUUUUUUUAAAGAAAAAAAUACUUGAACUUGUAAAGUAGGGGAGGGAUGAAAAAGAUACAAUUAUUAAUUUUGUCUGUCCCAUCCCAGUGGGCUUUGGGGCAUUGGGGUCUCUCUCUUGGAUGUUACGGUCAGGCCGCUGGAUAUGACCCUCUUCAUGGUGUGCAACUCACUCACAGCACUAUCUGACAGCUAUAAAGGAACUGUUUUUGAGAAGAGGGUGAAGAAGAAGAGAAAAGACAGAUGGACCUUCCUAGUGUCUGUGCUGGACAGGGUGCACAUAUGAGAGGCUUAUUUCCCACAAGCCUUUGUGUUCAAGCGACAAUCCACUGUAAAAACCAAGCAAAUCGGACAUGGUGUGUUCUUUUCUUUUGAGCUUUUUUAUUACACAGGGAGUGUGCUAUUAUAAAACGUAUUAAAGAAAUGCUUAAAGAGAAGCUUCUGCAAACGAGAUGGACUAAUGGACAAAAAUUAAGGCAAGCAGAGAAGAAAAUGAUUGAGUUGAUAGCUACUGAAACUGCCAAAAGAGUGGACUCAACAGUAUAACAAUGAAUUGGCUCUCAUGGUGUUUGAGUAAAAUUAAAAAAAAUAGACCCAUUAAAAAUAACCACUUUAUAGGCAAGAGGGAGAAUGAGA